rnacentral:lncRNA from 1 species
UCUCUCUGCUGCCCAGGCUGGAGUGCAGUGGGAUGAUCUCGGCUCAUUGAAACCUCCACCUCCAGGUUCAAGCGAUACUCCUGCCUCAGGCUCCCGAGUAGCUGGGACUACAAGUGUGCACCACGAUGCCCAGUUUGUCAAGGAUGUCUGUUCUGUAAGUCAAGGGAAUUUUCUGAAUGAAUAUUCAACUGAAAAUAUUUAAAUAGAAAAGAAGAUGAGUAUGCUGUGUGUGUAUGUACGAGGAGAUGCAGGUGCCCUUUCCUGCAUUGCCUGUUAUGCUGUCAAACCUCCCAUUUGGGCAGGCCUGAGGAGAGACAGCUCACUCAGUAUCAGCUUGGGCAGCUUGAAGACCAGACUGAGGUCAUCUGAAGGCUCUCUAUUAAAUUUUUUUAAUAGAGAUAAAAAUGUGAGUAUCCCAGAAGGAAGCUUUUAUGACAGCAUAGAAAGUCACAUAGCAUCAAUUCUGUUUUAGUCACAGACCCUCAUAGACCCAAGAUCCUUCAAAGAAAGAAUGAGUGUUACAUAAAAGAUGAUAAUAUUGGAUGGGGUUGCAGUUUGCUUAGUCCCUAGCUUAGUUAGGUCCAAGUUCUUGUCAAACAACCAAUAAGAAUAAGGGACAUGGACACCAGAGAAUGAGUAGAAUAGGAUUUAUUAAGCAAAUUGAAAGCUCUUAGCAAAAAGAGGGGGCCUGAAAGCAAGUUGCCAGAAAUGGGGCUGAGUUCUGUGUUUUUGAUAUGGCAGAAGUCAGGAUGUUUUCUGUGGGUUUGUGACUUCAUGUUUGUUAUUACCCAUGAAUACCUAAGCAAAACCGAGGGAGGGCUAACACAACAAUACUAAUGCCAUGUUAAUGACAUUAUAAUGAGCUGGGUUAAGUUAAGUACAUUUAGGUUGAUUUAUUGUGCCUGUGCCUAAGUUGGAACAGUCCCUUUGGGCAACAUCCUGGCACAAGGGGAAAUUCUUAACCACGUUUCUUCCCAUUAGCUGCAGAGGCAGUGUAGGUGCUGUGUUGAGGUUGUUCCUGUGAACAUUGCCUUUCUCUGUCCUUCUCCCGAGACCCUCCCUCUUUGUCUGCCUAUCCAGCCCCUAACCACCUCCUCCCUCAAUGGAAU